rnacentral:rRNA from 1 species
UACGUAGGGUGCGAGCGUUGUCCGGAAUUAUUGGGCGUAAAGGGCUCGUAGGCGGUCUGUCGCGUCGGGAGUGAAAACUCAGGGCUUAACCCUGAGCCUGCUUCCGAUACGGGCAGACUAGAGGUAUGCAGGGGAGAACGGAAUUCCUGGUGUAGCGGUGGAAUGCGCAGAUAUCAGGAGGAACACCGGUGGCGAAGGCGGGUCUCUGGGCCGAUACUGACGCUGAGGAGCGAAAGCGUGGGGAGCGAACAGG